UCGAAUCCUGCCCCAGCAGAAUGACCAGAGAA
rnacentral:rRNA from 1 species